AGAUUGAACGCUGGCGGCAGGCCUAACACAUGCAAGUCGAGCGGUAGAGAGGUGCUUGCACCUCUUGAGAGCGGCGGACGGGUGAGUAAUGCCUAGGAAUCUGCCUAGUGGUGGGGGAUAACGUUCGGAAACGGACGCUAAUACCGCAUACGUCCUACGGGAGAAAGCGGGGGACCUUCGGGCCUCGCGCCAUUAGAUGAGCCUAGGUCGGAUUAGCUAGUUGGUGAGGUAAUGGCUCACCAAGGCGACGAUCCGUAACUGGUCUGAGAGGAUGAUCAGUCACACUGGAACUGAGACACGGUCCAGACUCCUACGGGAGGCAGCAGUGGGGAAUAUUGGACAAUGGGCGAAAGCCUGAUCCAGCCAUGCCGCGUGUGUGAAGGAAGGUCUUCGGAUUGUAAAGCACUUUAAGUUGGAGGAAGGUUGUAACUUAAUACGUUGCAACUUUGACGUUACCGACAGAAUAAGCACCGACUAACUUGUGCCAGCAGCCG
rnacentral:rRNA from 1 species